AGGGUAAUAGCUCAGUGGUAGAGCACAUGCUUAGCAUACAUGAGGUCCUGGGUUCAAUCCCUGGUACCUCUA
rnacentral:tRNA from 1 species